AAUUGCAAUAAAUUAGGGCCAAACUACGCGAAUAGGUUGGUAAAAUGAGUAAAGUGAACCGGAGUGGUACGCGGGAAGUAAUUUUUAAAGUUUUCCAGCGAUGUAUGGCGGAGUUCCAAGCUGGACAAAUUUUGUGGGAUUUGGAUGAUGUUUAUGGCCGAACAGCAUCUAUGACCGGAAAAUCAGAGAGUACAGUUAGGCGGAUAGUAGAUGAAGGUUUUAAUAAUAAUGGAAAAUUUGAAACCCCUGGGAAACACAGAAGAGGCCGACCAAAGAAAGAAAUGGACAAUUUUUAUAUUUGUGCACUGCGUCAACUGCGUUAUUUUCUAACUUUCAUAUUUUUACACCCACCAAGGUUGCGUUAACGCAAUCUCUAUUGUUGUUAGUAUAUGUAGCAUACCCGCACUACAGCUACCUCAUAAAACUUAAUUAGUACUUAUCUCUUCCAUCUAGAGGUUGUCCGGUAGAGAUUGGUUUAAGCUGUUGGGCCGCCUUUUUGUACUUCAUGUUCUGUAAUUUUAUUUAAUGGUGCAAAAUAAAGACAGUAAAUACAGA